rnacentral:lncRNA from 1 species
GUAAAGCCGCAUCACUCAUAGCCGUAGGAAACAUGCCAAAGUAGUAACAUCAAUUCUUUCACUUAAUGACAUAGUCAAAAGUCACUAAGGGCAUCUAACAUAUAUAGGACAUCGUCUCAAAAUAAUGCCCGUGAGAACUCACACGAUGAGGAAGCAAGGAUCCAUUCACUCAUCUUCUUUAUUUUGUCGCCCAACACAUGUAGUAUGAAAUACAUGCUAUGACAGAGAAUCCAAAUAAGCGUAUGUCUUUCUCAAUGUCAUUCGGAUCUUAGCUCAGUCACUCCCAGAGUGUCUAGCCUGAGUUCUCCAUUUGCUCGCUAUCUCAAGCGCCAAACAGUGAGCUCACAUCCGGCUCUUAAUAUACAGGCCAUACGAAUCGUGGGACUAUUCGUAUGUGGUCUCAUUAAUGACCUCAUCUUGGUGCCAACCAAGGCGGCUUCCAUUAAUGCCUCAAUUUUCGCUCGCUCUCUACAGCGCCGAAAAAAAUGAUUGCCCGUGUGAGAGGGCCAAUCAGCCUGCGACAUACUGUCAAUCUGUUCUACAACAAUAUAGGAAAUAUAUGCACGUGUGCUAAUCU